rnacentral:lncRNA from 1 species
GAUCAUGUGUAACGUGGUCAUUAUUGUCAAACUGAAAUGCGAAAGGAUCAUCUAUGGAAGAGCUAGCGCUGUUUCUCGGUUUGGCCACGGCCGUGAGGUAAAAAAAACAGCCAGCAGCAUCAGCAGGGCCAACAUGAAAUUCGUCAGGCUCCACGAAAUCAUUUUAGAAUUCCCUCAAUGUUCGAUGAACUGAAACCAAGAUUUAAAAAAAAAUAAAUCCUUGGUUUUUAGAGGCAAUUUAUGAAUUAUGAAAGACUGAGUUGGAGAAAUUCUAUUCCACUGUGUCUUAAACCUGUUGAAUGGAUCUGUUGUAAAUUUUUGCUGAGUAUGACGUGCUUUUGGAAGCUGAAGGAUAAAAAACGGGCCAAGUUCCUCCGCAGAUUCUACGAUGAAUUUUAGACUUUACCAACAUGGUCAUUGUGGGUUUUAGGUCAUUUUCCACGAAUGAAAAAUCUUCUUUUCGGUCGGGCAAAAAUGUAUGCAAUAGACUCAUUGAAGAAGUGAACUGAAAAUGUCCAAACCUGAUACCUUGUCACCUUGUUCUGUGUACCUGACAAUAAGUGCAGAAUCAAACAAAUAAUCUGAAUCUCCAAACUAGCUCAUAGAAUAUCAGUAACUAAAAUGCAAACUAAUUAAAUUCCACCCGUACAUCACUGGAUCCUAAUUUUAAAUGGAAAUAAAAAUCAUGUGGUUGAAAAUGAUCUGAGCAGUUUUGCUUGGUUUUACAAAAGCUGUGUCCUUUUCUCAAAAGUCGCGAUCUUUUUUCAUUCGAUACAGAAGUUGCUUUUGAAAUGCGAUUUUAAGUAUCCGAUUUUGAAUUACGACAUGGUAAACUACAUCUGCAUUGUUUGCUACGUUUUCUCGCAAAAAGAUCGGUCCAUUUCUUAACUCAUUAUUAAGUUAACAAUUUGAAAAACGAAUUCCAUCAUGAAAGAUUUUGAGAUAUGAAGAUAGAGGUUUCAGAUCUAAUGGACGUAUUUCUGUUAAACGGAACUAAGCGCCAAAUUGAGUUCCAUUUGAGGAUUUUAGAAUCCCGUAGAGCGCGUUCUGUCGAACGAAACUAAGUGCCAUGGAAAAGCAUUGCGAGAUAGGCCAGAACGAGCAUCGCGUUCCAAAACACUCGCCAAUCCAAGCUCCCCUCUCUCUUCCUCCCCCAAUGGCGCUUAGUUUCGUUUGAUAGAAAUACGUCCAAAUGUUCAUUUCGUUCCGGUCUCAUAUCUCUCAGAAUGAGUGAUCGUUGAGUGAAAAAGCUCAAAUUUUAUUUAAGGAAUUAAACCAUAGUUACCAAAUACAAAAACAGCACUUGUAACCUAAUUUCUCCUGAUCAAAAGUCAGUGCAUUUUCGUAUUUUCGUUUAAAGGCUGAAUUUUCAAAAUCAGAGUGAAUGAGAUUUGUGCAUGGUGUGCGAGAAUACAAAAUAUAAUUUUUCGGCGUCAAAAAUGGAGCUAAAAUAAUUUAAUAACAGACUUCAUGACACUUACUUCUGGAAGAAAUAUUAAUCGUUGUCCGAUGACUUCACAGUUAGCACAGAGGUAAAAAAAUGACAGCUAGGUAAAAUCGCUCGGUCAAACAUGAGAUUGUUAUCAGCUCCAGUUCAUUCGUAGAUGACGUUGAUAUAAGGAAUGGGUUAUUGCAUUCAAAUUUGAUUAUAAAUUCUACGGUAGUUAAGCGUCUCGUAAUAAAGCUUUGCGUUAAACGACGUUAAAUGACAAUUAUUUCACUCACUAGCAGACAUUCGAUUAAAUAAGGUGUGCAAACUUCCUCUAUUACGCUUUACGCUAUCAGAUUUCGCGCUACUACGCGAAAAAUUAGUCACUCUCUGUCGUAAAAUUAGUUUUGAGGCAUUGAAAAUUUUUCUCGAUUAUAGUUUUCAAAAAGGGGAUGAUGAGUGUCAUUAAGUGAGGAAAUCAACAGGCUCUCGAACUUCUGUCAAGUGUCAAAAUACCUUUACAUAUUUCUAAGGUCGGCAAAACAUUAUUUCCUUCAAAAUUUUCACCUUUUUGAUAACAGAGACGCUUAAUUACUCCCUUCCUCAUCCGCCAUUUGUCACUCUCUCAGAAGAGGUAGCAUAGUCAAUUUUUAGACGUGCGCCCUUUUGAUAACUUGAAAGACGUCUAACAUUUUUUGCUCUUCAAA